AGUGAACGCUGGCGGUAGGCCUAACACAUGCCAGUCGAACGGCAGCACAGUAAGAGCUUGCUCUUACGGGUGGCGAGUGGCGGACGGGUGAGGAAUACAUCGGAAUCUACUUUUUCGUGGGGGAUAACGUAGGGAAACUUACGCUAAUACCGCAUACGACCUACGGGUGAAAGCAGGGGAUCUUCGGACCUUGCGCGAUUGAAUGAGCCGAUGUCGGAUUAGCUAGUUGGCGGGGUAAAGGCCCACCAAGGCGACGAUCCGUAGCUGGUCUGAGAGGAUGAUCAGCCACAAUGGAACGGAGACGCGGUCCAGACGCCUACGGGAGGCAGCAGUGGGGAAUAUUGGACAAUGGGCGCAAGCCUGAUCCAGCCAUACCGCGUGGGUGAAGAAGGCCUUCGGGUUGUAAAGCCCUUUUGUUGGGAAAGAAAAGCAGCAGGUUAAUACCACGCUGUUCUGACGGUACCCAAAGAAUAAGCACCGGCUAACUUCGUG
rnacentral:rRNA from 1 species